UGUCUCAGUAGUAGUACCAGUUCCUAGUAACCAGUUACCAGUAACCAGUGUACCAGUAGAUGACUCACUACCAACCGUCUCUGCGUGAAUCACUGACUGUAUUCAUAUUGCUGCUGACCAUAGCAGGAUUUCAAACACCCCCUCGCCCAUAAGCACUCACGGGUCAGUCUAGUCAGGGAGCCAGAGAGAGGCAGGUCGGCUGUUGGCGCUUCCCACACUUUCCGUUAUAUUAUACGUACUACCAGCCUACAUGGUGUGUGUGGUAAUGCUGGCUGGUCUACUGGUACUGGCGGCCAUGACAGUGACUACAUCAGAUGGUGGCCGCCUUGACCACGACGUGAAAAGUCUCUCUCCGUAGUGUUGGAGGAGAGAUCUGACGCACCCAGGAGGCAGGAGCGAUUCUUCGCCAUCUUCACCGGUACCUUCAUUCGCAGUCUCACAACCACCACCAUAACAGCGCUCUCCACUUGCCUCUCCUUUGAUGGUUCUGUUGGCUGCCUUGGUAGACGCAAGAAGAAGCGCUCCAGUUACCCUGAACUGCAACACGAUAAAGAUUUGUUGCUGGAGUUGACGGGAAGCCAGACAGAGGUGGAGACGAAUGAAGAGGAAGCUUAUCCACCGCGGCGAGGCUCCAGGCAGCUGGUGAACAACAGAGAUGGUAAAAUACUCACCAUCUGGUACACCUCGGUCAGUACAAUCACCCUCACCUCCACUUCCUACCUCGUUGGUACCACCAUCUCCGUCAGUGCCUACUGUGUUGCACCAGGAGUCUCAGAGGGAUGCUUCGGGAAGUAGCGAGAGCUUCCGGAGGCUGCUUCCUGUACUGUAGGUUCCAUGGCAACGAUCACGUACCAGCAUCAACUAUAGUGCUUCAUUAUUUAAACCC